ensembl:lncRNA
GGUAUCCUUGCUAGUCUAAGUGUACAGGCAGUAUAGUAUAACACAGCCUCUCUUUCCCCAAAUAUAUUCCUCAAGACAUGACUAGAUGAUCAAUGAGAAAAGAGUUCCAUGAACGUGCAAGUUCAAGAAACAUUGGAGUAAACCAGGUUCAAUAGCCUUCUUUGCUACGGGCCUUCUCAGGGCCUUAGUAAGCUAAGGCACUCGUGAUUCUCAGAGGAUUACAGCGUGCAGCCUUUGACCACAGAAGACAUCUUUAUACCAGAGUAUGUGGAUCACCAGCUCCGAGGACAGUUGAAGCUGGGAGGUGCCACUGGCCACCUUUGUCACCACUGAGAGAAGCAUGCCUGGUGUUGAAGCCAACACAGAGUUGAAGAAACGGAUGCCCAAAGAAAGGAAUGGGUUGGCCUGUGGCACCCAGCCAGCAACUGACGGAGCCAGGAUUUGAAACAGAUUCACCCCGAAGGACAGAACCCAGAGGCUGCAUGUUCAGAAAGAUGACACAGCCAAGUUCCCCAAUAUCCACGACAGCCCUCUCUAUGGUUCCUAAGGCUCAUUAAGAUGGAAGAGCAAGACUCCAGCUUCUGGACAGAUUCCCAACAAGAAAAUUUAGAAGAGAGGACGGAGAACCAAAGUUUUGCCUUGGCCCCGCCCCUUUUGAGCUACGUAAGUCUGAGCAGGUGCUUUUCCUCUCCAGCCCCAAUUCCUAUAAAAUGGUUGGGGUGGAAGUGGAAUCUCUCUAAGAUCCCCCAAGCUGGAAAAUCCAAGAUAAUAAAUAGAGAUGGGCUUGUUCUCUGGAAUGUCCUUCCCCUAAGUUCUGGCAAAGUUGAGCUCUCUUGGCUUAAAUACAAGGAGGUUGGCAUCUCCUUAGUGGUUCUGAAUAAUUGUGUGGUUUAAUUAUCCAUGUGCCCAAGGGAAGAGGAGAGUGGGUGCAUUUUUUACACUGAUCUAAUCAAAGACUGCUUAAUUCAGGAUGAAGCUUCUCAGAGGGUGCAACAUCUCUGUUUCCAGGAGCACCAGAUGGAGGGGCUGGAGCUGGCUUCCCUCGAGGUGAUGCUGAGGAAAUGACACAGGGAGUUCACUCAUGAAAAGUCCCGGGGACAUCAACUGAGGAAAAAGCCACAUGUUUCUCAAUACAUUCCCGUUAGUACAGAGGGUGGCAGAUCCAGCCACGCCUCUCAAGGCCUAAAGCAGCAGGGAAACUCCACAAUCACAUGUGCACAGCAAGAUCGGAGGCUGAAGCCCUCGUAUUUUUCUGGGUAUUUUUGUUUGGCUUUUUAUUUUUUUAAGGCACUCAAUUCUGCUUACAAUGUAACGGGCACUGUGUUCUGGCAGGAUCUGCUUUUAAAAUAAAAGGUGGGGGAUAGAUAAGAAAUUAACAGGCCUCUUGAGUACAUGAUGACCUGUCAUAACUUUGACACCUGACAAUUGGAGAAUGGGGAGUAGAUGAAAAAUAACACAGUAAGGCUCUCCCUGACUCAAAAGGUUCAGAGAACCGGGCAUUUUGUCAGAAACUAGCAAACAACUAUAAUGUAUUCAAUUUGGAGAGACUUGGCUUUCCACCUCUUACUAGAGUGAAAAUUAUUUUUUCUACCCAAUACUAAAUCUUCCUGCUCUAGAGAAUUCCCCACUAAGAGUGCUGGAAUAAGGCAGAGCCCAUCUCCGCUAUAGAAAUCUGAAAGGCCAGGUACUCACUUUCCAAGCUUCCCUUGCAGCUAAGUCACAGCCAAUCAGAUGGACCCACCAGCUUUCAACCAGAAGCUGGUGAUGCAAAGAAGUGGGGCCAAUGGAAAAGCCAUUCUGGUGAGGCCAGCAGCAGGAGCAGCAAUUUCUGAUCUCCAGGGACAGUGAUGGUGGCAACGGUACCUUGGUGAUGUCCUCUGGUCAGGCAAGAUGUCAUCAGUGUCCUCACCAGUGACCACAAUUCUGGCCUUGGUCCUGGCUGCCAUCUUGCCUUCCUGUUCCAGCUCAUUUUGUAAGCCUGGGACUUCCUGGUGAUUCUGUGAGCUCCCCAGGAGCCUUUCAGUAAAUUCUUUG